AUAAAUCCGCAAUACAUUGGUUUAGGUUUUGUACAAAUCCAGAAAUGGUUUCCAAAAGUAUGGCUCUUUUCUUAGUUAUAGCUCUUCUCAUUUCCUCAAUACAAGUUGCAGACGCUCGACACCUCAAGAAUAAGAAGAUGAGAAGUUAUGCACGUGAUGGAUUUGAGUGCCCCAGAGGAUGUUGUUAUCCACGCCCUAUCGGCCGACGAGGAGAUUGCCAAUGCUGCCGUUAGCACCUUUCCUUCCAACAUUUUCUGUUUAAUGUAAUUUUAUUUUAUGCUCUUAAAAUAAAGAUCACUUGACUAAAACUAAGUUAAUAAAUUAUAGUUAUAAUUAUAUUUAAGAUUAAUGUCUCCCGCUGUUAUUCCUUUUUAAUAUAUGUCAGUGCGUUUUUUGUCAAA